CUGCUCCUCCUCUGCCCCUGCCCCACAGGCGCCCCUGUCCACUGUCCUGCACUUAUGUCUGCUCUUGGCCCUCUCCUUGUCCUUGCCCCUGUCCCUGCCCCUGCCAUCCGUGCCGCUGCCCAUCCCUACCCCUAAUGCUGCUCCUGUCCCUGCCCCUGCCACUGUUCCCGUUCCUGCCUCUGCCUCUGUCCCUGUCGCUGCUCCAGCCCCGCCCCUGCCCUUUUCCUGCCGCUGCCUCUAUACCUGUCUCUGCCGCUGCCCCUGUCCUGUCCCCUCCCCUGCCCCUGCCUCUUCCAUGCCGGUGGAGGGCCGAUCACCUCCUUGCAGGCAUGGCACUGGCAAACUACUCGUGUAUGUGUGUGUAUUUGUAUAUAUAUGCGGACGAUCAGUGCUAAGAGCUCCUGGGGUGCUGUGUGGUUGUCAGUAGUUUGAAUCUCGUCUGGGAAUGGAAGUUAGCUGAAAGUGAGGCCAUACCUUUGCAGUGGCUAAGAAACACGACAUUUUUCUCAGUUUUUGCAUUUUGGAUCAACACAAAGAGACAGAAUUAAUGCCCUCCUCCUGUUUUCCUUCUCUUGACUCAUGAGAUUUGCUUUGAAAAGAUAUGUGAUGCAAAUGAAGAUCCAAAUAAAUGAUAGAUGAGUGGUUCUGCUGCCAUUUUACACAUCACUCUAAUACCUAGAACUGACCUCUUCCUUUACCACGUGGGACUUCGUUCCCUGAUACAGGAUUCUUCCUUCACUACACUUCACUGAUACGCUGAGACUGAUACAUUCCCUCACUACUCCGGGCUUUCGGGCUUUCCUUGACGAAUCCGGACUGCAACCAUCACUUUGACAAGACCGGGACUCUAACCACCAGGAAGACCCCAAGAACAACGGGACGCCAUUGAAACCCACAGAGUGGUGAUAUUUUUUCUACUUAAUCUGUCUCUCUGUUACUCUCUCUUCCCACUCCACCCUCACUCUCUCUUCCCUAUUCCUUUAUAUCUCUCUCUACCUCACAUUUACUAUUAAAUAAAAAUCUGUACUAUUGCCUUCGGCAUAUGGCCUUGUUUGCAGCUUAAUUUUGUCAGAGGCAUCACUCUAAUAAUUGUAAAGAACCUGAUCAUAACAAGGUGAUAUCAUAACUGAUUUUAUUUUUUAUAAGAUAUUCAGGCAAGUUUUACAUAAAGGAAAACUUUCUCAUAUUUUCUCAUUUGUCCAUAAUCUCGGUGGAAAAUUACCUGCCCUUUAAGGUGUUUACAUUUAGGGCUUUUCGUUCUUUUUUUUGGGUUGUGUCCUUUAGGACUGGCCAAGAUUUCAGGUAUUUUCCAGAUAUAAAUUUCCUAAUUGUCCUUGUGGUUCUGCUGUUUUACAUUUUGUAGAAUUUCACUUACAGUGCUAUAAACAUGAUAUUUUUUUCAUACAAAGUACAGACUGUUCUGAAGUUGAUGCAGAUAUGGAUGAUAUGAAAUUUCAUCCUUUUUUUCAAAAUAUUGCAUAACUUUAAAGUACACAAUCACAGAUAUAUCUAAUAUUAACUAAGUUUGAUUUUGCUUAGUGGCAGCUUGAUAGAGAAUAGGGGAAUUAUUUUGAAUUGAUAAAAAGUGUUCCUAGGAAUGCUAGGUUGUUUAAUUAGUUGGUGCUGUAAUGAAUAUGUAUUCACAUAAUAUGUGUAUUCACAUAUAGUGUAUUUGUGUCUGAUUUUGUCUUUCUAAAGUACAUGACCUGGUAUACAUUGGUCCCCUUAUGUUGCUCUAAAUCGAGCCCUUUGAAUGUCAGGCUCUACUAGCUCCCCUCAAGUCAGUUACAUAACUUUUCCAUUCUUUGGACAGUCUGUGUUCUGACACCUAGUGUAGCACUGGGUUAACUUGACAGUCUGCUUUUUAUUUUUCCAUCAUCACUUUUGAAGUCUGUGACAAGUCAUUUAUUUAAUGAUUAAGCUGCCUUUUAAAAGCCAAAAUCUUAUCUAUUUUUUGUAGGGGGAUGGGGGAAGAGAAAAAAAAUUAUGUAUAAUAAUGGCCUGUCUACAUUCUGUUUUGUUAUUGCUAGUAACCUUUGGCCAGACUACAAGAGCAGGUGUUUUGUUAAUUUAAAAUAUUUUCAUCCCUUAGCUUUAAUUCAGCUGCAAUUCCUUUGUCCUUGCUGGGUUUCAGGUUUCUGUCCUUCUGGAAAAAGCCAAUCCUGAAAAAUCAAGAGAAGGUCAAGCAGAAGCCACUGACUGUCCCCUUGUCCUAUAAAUCCAUCAGUUGUCAACCACAGGGGGUAGCUUCUGCUGAUAUUUCUUUCAUGUAUGUUUCUAUUCUAAUAUUAAUAAUAUUAGAAUAAAUACUCGAGGAUGCAAAGUAGGAAAUGUCUUCUUUCUCUUCUGUCAGUCGUCUGCUCUUCUGAUUCCUUUGCUCUCCAUCCUCCAUCUCUUUCUGUAAGGUUAGUUUUUGGUUACUGUCCCAGGCGUAAACAGUCAAUCUAUUCCAGUUAUUCAGUCACACUGCUAUAAUUUAUUUUUCAUCUCCCAGGGAACGUAAUAAAGUUUAAAUUAACUCAGCUUAUGUCUUCAGGAAUUAGGCAAGUAAAUACUUCUCUACAUGCUAAUUAAUUUGAGACUGUAAAGGAUAUUAGUAGGCGUUAGUUUUAUGCCAUGUCCCCCAGCUUUCUCUCCCUUACAAAUUUAAGGACCUCCUCAAUGGUAUUUCCUUGUACUCCAUCAUUUUGUUAGGUACACACUUGAUGAAAAAAAAAAAAACCAAACACUUUUCUGAUUAGACUCAUUGAAUAAUUUGUUAUGAUCAGUCAUGUUUCUUUAGUUUCUUCAGCCUAAUUUUCAUAUUUUCUGACAGCAGUCUAGUUUGCUGGUAACAUUUAACUAGAACAUAAAUAAUAACGUAGAGUUCAUCUUGGAAGUUAGUCUUCAGGUUGUGUGUUUUUGUAAGACGGGAAAAAAGCAAAUAGACACUGGGUGGCAGAUGAGCACUGUUGUUGAGGUCGCUGAUUACGGAGCAUCUGUAUAUAUCCUAAAAAUGCAGGCAAUUUGUUAAAAUUGGUUAUUGUUCUGUUAUGGCAAAAUAAAAAUGUACUUUAUGUUCCCUGUGUAAUAAAUAUUGCUUGUACAUUUUG